UGGGCUGUGGUGCAAUCGGUAGCACGUCUGACUCUGGAUCAGAAGGUUCCAGGUUCGAGUCCUGGCAGCCCAG
rnacentral:tRNA from 1 species